UGAGAAUUUGAUCCUGGUUCAGGAUGAACGCUGGAAGUGUACCUUAAGCAUGCAAGUCGAGCGGUGAAUCUCGAGCUCGCAAGAGUUCGAGAGGAGCAGCGGCAGACGGGUGAGAAAAGACAGGAAUCUACCCUUUUGUGGGGAAUAGCCCGCCGAAAGGCGGGGUAAUACCGCAUAAGUUCGUAAGAAGAAAGGCCUUAACCGGCCGCAGAUGGAUGAGCCUGUUCGCUAUCAGCUAGUUGGUAGGGUAAAAGCCUACCAAGGCUACGACGGCUAGGGGGUGUGAGAGCAUGACCCCCCACAAGGUAACUGAGAUACGGUGCCUACACCUACGGGUGGCAGCAACUGGGAAUUUUGCACAAUGGACGAAAGUCUGAUGCAGUGACACUUCGUGUGGGAUGAAGGCCCUCGGGUCGUAAACCACUGUGAUAGGAGAAAACUUAAGAUGGUACCCUAUUAGAAAGCACCUGCUAACCACGUGCCAGAAGCCUCGGUAAUACGUGGGGUGCAAGCGUUAUCCGGAUUUAUUGGGCGUAAAGAGUAUCGUAGGCGGUUUGUUAAGUAUCGGGUUAAAGCCUGGGGCUCAACUCCAGAGAUGCUCGAUAAACUGGCAGACUAGCGGUUGUUCGGAGAUGUCGGAAUUCUUGGUGGAGGAGUGAAAUCCGUUGAUAUCAAGAAGAACACCAAAAGCGAAGGCAGGCAUCUAGGAUAUACCGGACGCUGAUGAACGAAAGCUAGGGGAGCGAAAGGGAUUAGAGACCCCUGUAGUCCUAGCCGUAAACUAUGAACACUAGCUAUUUCCCGUAAGGGGAGUGGCGUAAGCUAACGCGUUAAGUGUUCCGCCUGGGGAGUACGGCCGCAAGGCUAAAACUCAAAGGAAUUGACGGGGAAACGCACAAUCAGCGUGCCAUGUGGUUUAAUUGGAUACGAAACCUUGAACCUUACCUGGGUUUGACAUGUACCUGCAAAUCUCUGGAAACAGAGACGCCUUCGAGGGUGGUACACAGCUGCUGCAUGGUUGUCGUCAGUUCGUGUCGUGAGGCGUCUAUUUAAGUAUAGUAACGAACGCAACCCCUGUGCUAUGUUAAAUAUCCAUAGCAGACUGCCACGGUUUUUUCCGUGGAGGAAGGAGGGGAUGACGUCAAAUCAUCAUGGCGCUUAUAUCCAGGGCUACACACAUGGCGUAAUGGAUGAGACAACGGGGUGCGAAGCCGCGAGGCGGAGCAAAUCCUAAUAAACUCAUCCUCAGUUCGGAUCGCAGGCUGCAAUUCGCCUGCGUGAAGGGGAGUUGAUAGUAAUCGCAGAUCAGCAACACUGCGGUGAAUACGUUCUCGUUUCUUGUACACACUGCCCGUCAAGUCAACAAAGUCAGUAGUGCCCGAAGUAGGUACCCAUAACCGCAAGGAUUGGGCCUCCUAAGGUAAGACUGGCGAUGGGGGCUAAGUCGUAAACUUAUUGCGACCAUAGAGAGUAAUUUCUAUGAAAAAUCUCGCUGUAUCGGUGAAGCCUAAACAUUCGGUAUACUUUCGGGUAUACUGGAGAUAUGGUAAUACCGAGGGAACCUGUUUCUGAGACAUCAGAGAUAGGACUCCGUAGAGACUACACGCGAGCGCCGCAAAUAUCGAAAGCUUAUAUAGUUGGUAUCCUUCAUGAUGCUACCAAAAGAAAGACUACUUUCAGGGUUUCACAAAAAUCCUCUAAGUUUGUCGAAAUGGUGGCUAAUGGAAUUAGAAGUUUGGGCGGAAACGCCUGGACUUAUAAAGAAGGAAGUAAUCGAAGUGUAUAUAUCGUUGAAUUUUCAAAAUCUUUUCUAAAAGAAUUUGAGAUUGUUUCCGAAAGGGACAAAAUUGAUUAUAUUCGAGGUUAUUUUGAUGCCGAUGGAGGGGUGGCAAAGAGCAGCAAAGUUAGAUUUUAUAUCUACUUUGCCCAGAAGGAUUAUUCUGAUCUCGAACAAGUAAGAAAUUAUUUGAAAGAGAUUCGCAUAGAUUGUGGAGUAAUCCAUAAUCCAAGCAAAAGGAUUGAUCCGUAUUAUUGGAGAUUUUUUGUAAAAGCAAAAUCUUAUGUAGAUUUUGUACAGAAAAUUGGUUCUUUGCAUCCGGAAAAAGCAAAAUAUUUGUGGAUGAAGAUAUAGUCCAUGCCACUAGAAAUACGUGGAAUUUCAUGAACAAGGUAUCCGUACUGGAAGGUGCGGAUGGAUCACCUCCUU
rnacentral:rRNA from 1 species